GACGAACGCUGGCGGCGUGCUUAACACAUGCAAGUCGAACGGAAAGGCCCCCUUGUGGGGUACUCGAGUGGCGAACGGGUGAGUAACACGUGAGUAACCUACCCUUGACUUUGGGAUAACUUCAGGAAACUGGGGCUAAUACCGGAUAGGAGCUCCUGCUGCAUGGUGGGGGUUGGAAAGUUUCGGCGGUUGGGGAUGGACUCGCGGCUUAUCAGCUUGUUGGUGGGGUAGUGGCUCACCAAGGCUUUGACGGGUAGCCGGCCUGAGAGGGUGACCGGCCACAUUGGGACUGAGAUACGGCCCAGACUCCUACGGGAGGCAGCAGUGGGGAAUAUUGCACAAUGGGCGGAAGCCUGAUGCAACAACGCCGCGUGCGGGAUGACGGCCUUCGGGUUGUAAACCGCUUUCGCCUGUGACGAAGCGUGAGUGACGGUAAUGGGUAAAGAAGCACCGGCUAACUACGUG
rnacentral:rRNA from 1 species